rnacentral:rRNA from 1 species
CAGUAGCCACGGUAAUACGAAGGGUGCAAGCGUUAAUCGGAAUUACUGGGCGUAAAGCGUGCGUAGGCGGUUUGUUAAGUCUGCUGUGAAAUCCCCGGGCUCAACCUGGGAAUGGCAGUGGAUACUGGCAAGCUAGAGUGUGUCAGAGGAUGGUGGAAUUCCCGGUGUAGCGGUGAAAUGCGUAGAGAUCGGGAGGAACAUCAGUGGCGAAGGCGGCCAUCUGGGACAACACUGACGCUGAGGCACGAAAGCGUGGGGAGCAAACAGGAUUAGAUACCCCCGUAGUCCCUGUCUCUUAUAA